UGCGGGGGGAUCAGUGGCGAACGGGUGAGUAACACGUGGGCAACCUGCCCUCAGCUCUGGGAUAACUCCAAGAAAUUGGGGCUAAUACCGGAUAUGACUGCUGACCGCAUGGUCUGGUGGUGGAAAGAUUUAUCGGCUGGGGAUGGGCCCGCGGCCUAUCAGCUUGUUGGUGGGGUAGUGGCCUACCAAGGCGACGACGGGUAGCCGGCCUGAGAGGGUGACCGGCCACACUGGGACUGAGACACGGCCCAGACUCCUACGGGAGGCAGCAGUGGGGAAUAUUGCGCAAUGGGCGAAAGCCUGACGCAGCGACGCCGCGUGGGGGAUGACGGCCUUCGGGUUGUAAACCUCUUUCAGCAGGGACGAAGCGAAAGUGACGGUACCUGCAGAAGAAGCACCGGCCAACUACGUGCCAGCAGCCGCGGUAAUACGUAGGGUGCAAGCGUUGUCCGGAAUUAUUGGGCGUAAAGAGCUCGUAGGCGGUUUGUUGCGUCGGCUGUGAAAUCCCGAGGCUCAACCUCGGGUCUGCAGUCGAUACGAGCAAACUAGAGUGUUGCAGGGGAGACUGGAAUUCCUGGUGUAGCGGUGAAAUGCGCAGAUAUCAGGAGGAACACCGGUGGCGAAGGCGGGUCUCUGGCCAACAACUGACGCUGAGGAGCGAAAGCGUGGGGAGCGAACAGGAUUAGAUACCCUGGUAGUCCACGCCGUAAACGUUGGGCGCUAGGUGUGGGGCUCAUUCCACGAGUUCCGUGCCGCAGCUAACGCA
rnacentral:rRNA from 1 species